rnacentral:rRNA from 1 species
ACGCUGAAGCUUGGUGCUUGCACUGGGUGGAUGAGUGGCGAACGGGUGAGUAAUACGUGAGUAACCUGCCCUUGACUCUGGGAUAAGCCUGGGAAACUGGGUCUAAUACUGGAUAUGACCUCCUGUCGCAUGGUGGGGGGUGGAAAGGGUUUGUACUGGUUGUGGAUGGGCUCACGGCCUAUCAGCUUGUUGGUGGGGUAAUGGCCUACCAAGGCGACGACGGGUAGCCGGCCUGAGAGGGUGACCGGCCACACUGGGACUGAGACACGGCCCAGACUCCAACGGGAGGCAGCAGUGGGGAAUAUUGCACAAUGGGCGCAAGCCUGAUGCAGCGACGCCGCGUGAGGGAUGACGGCCUUCGGGUUGUAAACCUCUUUCAGCACGGAAGAAGCGAAAGUGACGGUACGUGCAGAAGAAGCGCCGGCUAACUACGUGCCAGCAGCCGCGGUAAUACGUAGGGCGCAAGCGUUGUCCGGAAUUAUUGGGCGUAAAGAGCUCGUAGGCGGUUUGUCGCGUCUGCUGUGAAAGCCCGGGGCUUAACCCCGGGUGUGCAGUGGGUACGGGCAGACUUGAGUGCAGUAGGGGAGACUGGAACUCCUGGCGUAGCGGUGAAAUGCGCAGAUAUCAGGAAGAACACCGAUGGCGAAGGCAGGUCUCUGGGCUGUUACUGACGCUGAGGAGCGAAAGCAUGGGGAGCGAACAGGAUUAGAUACCCUGGUAGUCCAUGCCGUAAACGUUGGGCACUAGGUGUGGGGGACAUUCCACGUUUUCCGCGCCGUAGCUAACG